UGCUGAUAUGGCUUUUAAAAGCAGUAAUGUGAAUAACUAUGAGUUAUACUAAAGAAAAGGAAAAACUUGGUAACUACCAGAGGUAUUGUACUGCAAAAUAAUUUUCCUUAAAAGAAAUAAAAAUAGUUUUAAUUAUCAUCAUUAAUACAUAUUUAUGCGAAGUUAAUAGACAUAGCCUUCAUUUGGAAUUGGUCAUUUUAAAUCAGGAAUGACACUCACCAAAUAUACAGUGGGGAAAUGUUACAUCAGUCUCUUUCUUUUAACCUUUAGAAGUUAGAAUUAAAUAAGUGAAAGUGAAGUCGCUCAGUCAUGUCUGAUUCUUAGUGACCCCAUGGACUGCAGCCCACCAGGCACCUCUGUCCAUGGGAUUUUCCAGGCAAGAGUACUGGAGUGGGUUGCCAUCACCUUCUCCGAGAAUUAAAUAUGUAUCCUGAUAAAUGAAUCAACUAAAUACAUGCAUUACUUUUCUCUUUGGAAGUUCUGAUAGUUUAGUAUCUAUGGUCUUUUUCAAGUUUGUUUAGAAACUAGGAGGAAUAGGCAGCAGCCUUCUAGUAGUGUACCAUGAGAAGAGUUGGCUGUCAGAGUAGGGUGAUUUGAAGAGCAGAGAAUGAUAGAGGUAAGUGGAGAGAGGUCAGAGAAACUCUUUAUCACAGAAGAGGAGGCACUGGCUAGCUCUUUGGGGCAUGUGUGUCAGUAUCUAGAAGAUUCCUUACAUAACUUUCCUUGGCUUUUGAAAUUUCAGGAUGCAUUUGAUCCUUAACCUGUGUAUCUAAUGUGUCUGGUUCCCAGUGGGAGUUUAGGAGCAGGUUUAGUUUGACAUGAAUGAACGUUUACAUUUCUAUAAGAGACUCAGUAGCAUAUGUUAAAUAAAAUACACGUAAACAUGGUAUUGUGCUUCUUCUUGCCAGACGUGCAACUUUUUCUUCCCCCCUUUACUGUAUCGCUCUUUGAAAAUGGCCUGCUAUCUUCUGGUGAUUUUUAUCACAGAACCCACUUUGGAGAAGCAGUAUCGUUUGACAGGAAGAGCCCUGGAGGAGGUAUUAAUAUCAUGGAUACCCAAGUUCUGUUCCCAGCUUCUCUGCUUGUUAAGCAUCUGACCCUGGGCCAGUAACACCUGGGAGCUUCAUCUGAUAAAUGACAGCAAAACAGUGGUUAUUGGAGUGACCGUAUUUCCAAUUAGUACAUGAAAACACUUGGAGAACUAUUAAGUCUUAUGAAGACAGAAAGUACAGGUAUUAAUCAUGCCUUAAUUUCCCAUUUGCCUAAAAUCCAAAUAGCCAGAAGACCAAAAUAACUACAGUUUUUCCCUAGACUUGUCCAGUGAUAACUGAUUUAAUGCCAACCUUCCCUGUGUCCCUGUAAAUUCAGAGGUGACUUGGAAAUCAAAUACCAGCUGCAGUUAUAUUCAGCAGGUUUUUUUUUUUUUAACUGAUUCUUUGAAAAUUAGUUGAUUAUAUGUGGAAAGUCAAAGUAGAAAAAUCCCAAUUUCUGACCAGUCCGAGGUAAAGCAGUCAUCAGUCACAAGGUCAGCCCACCUCUGGCUCCUUGCCAGGGUGCAGCUCUGCCCCUUCCCAACAGAGGCCUUUUGUUCCCUCGCAGCCUCCGUCGUGCAGCCAUUUUGCCUGGGAUGCUCUCUUCCCUUUUUGAACCCCGCAUGGCAGUCAGAGUUCCUUGCAGCCCAGCGGCUUAUCCUUCUCUCCCAGGUUCACUGUGCGACUGCAUUUGGUUGCUUUCUUGUAAGAUUUGCUUUCCCAAGUUAGAAGGGCACCCCUUUUUUAGGGCCAGAGCUCUUUCUCAUUCCUUUCUGUUUUCAGAGCUCCUUAGGUGUCCACUCUGUGGUUGCUUCGCACUUCCCUGCUUCGCAACUCUGUGUUUUUCUAACAUUAUCAAGGAAAGAAGCGUUUCCAAAAAGUGACACCCCUGUUAAUUAUGAACUCUUCUCCUAACUUUAAGCCUCAUUUCUUUUUUAAGAAUAGAAAUCUCUCUAGAAUGUUUUCUAUACUUCACAUUAAAAAAAUUGCACAUGGAGACCCCCCCCCCAACAACCAACAACAGAGUCCAAUAAAAUGACAGUAGUAACUCUGGACUGAGUGUACGUUUAAAAUUUUUUUGUUUUUGUUUUGGCUGUGCUGGGUCUUCGAUGCUGCGAAGGCUUUUCUGUAGCUGUGGGGUGCAGGCUUCACGUUGCAGUGGCUUCUCUUGUUGAAUAACAGGGCUCUAGGAAAGAGGGCUCAAGUAGUUGUGUGCAUGGGCUUAGUUGGCUCAGGGACGUGUGGAGUCUUCCUGGACCAGAGAUUGAACCUGCAUGUCCUGCACUGGCAGGCAGAUUCUUAACCACUGGACCACCAGGGAAGUCCUCCCUACAAGUGUACGUUCUUGUUCUCCUCUUUAAUACAGAAGACUUUGGCUGUGGGGCUGCAUGAAUUGCUCCUUUACCAAAUAACCCUAGAAAUCUUCUUCUUCUUUGACUUUUAACUGACUGCCUCCACUCCUCCCCAGAUCUUUGUUUUCUCCUUCCAUUAAGAGUCAGCUUUCUGAUACCUGUGUGUGCUGCCCUUCCAGGAGGAAUCAGCGGAUGUGGAUGACGUCAUUUUUUCCUUCGGCCGUCUGGCUGGUGUUAAAUGUCGCCCUGCCCGAAGUCAAGAGAGACGAGCCUGCUUCUUUAGCGGUUUUUGCUCCUAUUUCAAU
ensembl:lncRNA